rnacentral:rRNA from 1 species
GACGAACGCUGGCGGCGUGCUUAACACAUGCCAGUCGAACGGUGAACUCCGCUUGCGGGGGGAUCAGUGGCGAACGGGUGCGUAACACGUGGGCAACCUGCCCUCAGCUCUGGGAUAACUCCAAGAAAUUGGGGCUAAUACCGGAUAUGACCGCUGACCGCAUGGUCUGGUGGUGGAAAGAUUUAUCGGCUGGGGAUGGGCCCGCGGCCUAUCAGCUUGUUGGUGGGGUAGUGGCCUACCAAGGCGACGACGGGUAGCCGGCCUGAGAGGGUGACCGGCCACACUGGGACUGAGACACGGCCCAGACUCCUACGGGAGGCAGCAGUGGGGAAUAUUGCGCAAUGGGCGAAAGCCUGACGCAGCGACGCCGCGUGGGGGAUGACGGCCUUCGGGUUGUAAACCUCUUUCAGCAGGGACGAAGCGAAAGUGACGGUACCUGCAGAAGAAGCACCGGCCAACUACGUG